UAAGAAGCGAUGAUAGGAAGAGUAGUCGGAUGUGGUUCGUUAAGAGAGAGGCUCCCUGGCUGGAAGGGCCUUCUUACCUAUCUGAUGAACGUCACCCUGGAGCUUUUUACCUGAAAUGGAGUAGGGUAAAACGCGGCCCGGCGUUACUGGGGAUCCCAAGCGCAUCAGUUUGCCUAUGUAGGCACGAUGAAUAAAGGUGGUACCGCGGAGCCCAUCCGUCCUUUGG
rnacentral:ncRNA from 1 species